rnacentral:rRNA from 1 species
GAUGAACGCUAGCGGCAGGCCUAAUACAUGCAAGUCGAACGGUAACAGGUCCAGCAAUGGAUGCUGACGAGUGGCGCACGGGUGCGUAACGCGUAUGCAAUCUACCUUUAACUGGUGAAUAGCCCGAAGAAAUUCGGAUUAACACACCAUAGUAUAUUAGAGUAGCAUUACUCAAAUAUUAAAACUCCGGUGGUUAAGGAUGAGAAUGCGUGACAUUAGCUAGUUGGUGAGGUAAUGGCUCACCAAGGCAACGAUGUCUAGGGGAUCUGAGAGGGUUAACCCCCACUCUGGUACUGAGACACGGACCAGACUCCUAGGGGAGGCAGCAGUAAGGAAUAUUGGACAAUGGUCGCAAGACUGAUCCAGCCAUGCCGCGUGAAGGAUGACGGCCCUAUGGGUUGUAAACUUCUUUUGUAUGGGAAAAAACCUCUCUACGUGUAGAGAGCUGAUGGUACCAUAAGAAUAAGGAUCGGCUAACUCCGUGCCAGCAGCCGCAGUAAAAC